UUUUGGCCAUGGCGAGGGAGAGCCCUGGGAGAAGUGAGGUCGAAUAGAGACUGAAGAACAAACUGCCUCUGCUUCUACUGCCAAUGUCAGUGUUCCCAAGCUGUCGCACAAAAACACAACCUGUUGCUGCUUCAGCCCACAGUCAAGGUGGGCUCCUUCCAGAGUUUUCCACUCUGCAAUGUUGAAGUAUGUGCUGAAGACGCAAUACUUCUCCUACAUAAGUAUGAGGGAAAGAGGACAACAUGCUGUUUUGGAACACAAUGAGAAUAUUGUGAAGAGGAAGCCUGCCACUAACAGCA